AUUGAACGCUGGCGGCAUGCUUUACACAUGCAAGUCGAACGGCAGCGCGGGCUUCGGCCUGGCGGCGAGUGGCGAACGGGUGAGUAAUACAUCGGAACGUGCCCAGUAGUGGGGGAUAGCUCGGCGAAAGCCGGAUUAAUACCGCAUACGACCUGAGGGUGAAAGCGGGGGAUCUUCGGACCUCGCGCUAUUGGAGCGGCCGAUGGCAGAUUAGCUAGUUGGUGGGGUAAAGGCCUACCAAGGCGACGAUCUGUAGCUGGUCUGAGAGGACGACCAGCCACACUGGGACUGAGACACGGCCCAGACUCCUACGGGAGGCAGCAGUGGGGAAUUUUGGACAAUGGGCGAAAGCCUGGUCCAGCAAUGCCGCGUGUGUGAUGAAGGCCUUCGGGUUGUAAAGCACUUUUGGCGGGAACGAAAGGGACUGUGCCAAUACCACGGUUCGAUGACGGUACCCGCAGAAUAAGCACCGGCUAACUACGUG
rnacentral:rRNA from 1 species